rnacentral:lncRNA from 1 species
AAAUGACAAUUCAUUUCAUUUUAUUUUUUACUUUCUUAUAUUUGAUUUUCCACCUUCUUUAUUGUUGUUGUUUGUUCGUUUUGAUUUUUAACUUUUCUUAUAAGAUGGUUAGUUUGAGGUCCAAAUGUUUAUACAACCCACUUCUAAGCUCUUUCUACCUUCAUUGUAUGGAAAUCAAAUCUUUUCCUUGUCAUAGUUGUGCAAUGAGGCUCAUGAAUCAAGUGGGUGCAAUUUUGGUGCAACUUGGGUGCCUCUAUGUUGAACUAAAUUUACUAAAUUGUAUGUUCUAGACCACCUUGAAGACUAAAAGGAGAUCCCCAUAGACUUGGUUGGUACCUCAGAAACAAAGCCAAAUCAAUCACUUUGUUGAAAGUCGUAGAAGAUCAGUUGCUUGGCAUUACAGCAAAAUCCUUUUAUGAAUACCCCACCACUCGUUGAAGUGAAGAAGAACUUAGUGCUUCCAUUCCACUUAUUUGAUUUUAGUAAAUACCUACCUUCAAAUAGAUAAGAAUAUAUUGAGAACGUGAAUAUAUUUUUUUGCUUUCAUGUUUUAGUUUUUAUUGAGCUAUUUAUAAUGCAACUUUAUUAUAAAGUAAGCUUGACUUUUGGUAAAUAAAUGACACACCCUUCUUUUCGCGAAAGGGUCAUUCUGAGAAGUUUCAUCCAACAUGUGGAUGUGAACCAUUGGUGGGUUGUUUCUAGUAGUGAGCGGGAAGUUUCCUAUGAAUCAAGUCAACGAUGAUCAGAUAUGGAAAUAUAACCAAAUAAAAAAGAUAAUUAAUGUCUCUUAAUACAGGCCCUUCUUUCGGGUCCCAACUCAUGCCACCCCAAAAGCUCAACCGUCGAAAUAUUAUAACAGGAACAAAGCCACGACGCAGUAACUCCUAUUCACAAAUACGAAAUUCAAAACAGUUCAACGCAUAAUUCUCACCACUUUAUGAAAAUUACACAUCUAUAAUUGCU